GAAGGUAUAUCUCAGUGGUAGAGCACAUGUUUAGCGUGCAUGAGGUCCUGGGUUCAAUCCUCAGUACCUCCC
rnacentral:tRNA from 1 species